GCACUGGUGGUUUGGUGGUAGAAUUCUCACCUUCCAUGUGGGAGACAUGGGUUCCAUUCCCGACCAAAGUG
rnacentral:tRNA from 1 species